CCUACGGGGAGCAGCAGUGAGGAAUAUUGGUCCAUGGGCGCUAGCCUGAACCAGCCAAGUAGCGUGAAGGAUGACUGCCCUAUGGGUUGUAAACUUCUUUUAUAUGGGAAUAAAGUGCAGUAUGUAUACUUCUUUGCAUGUACCUUAUGAAUAAGGAUCGGCUAACUCCGUUACAGCAGCCGCGGUAAUACGGCGGAUCCGCGCGUUAUCCGGAUUUAUUGGGUUUAAAGGGAGCGUAGGCGGGUUGUUAAGUCAUUUGUGAAAGUUUGCUGUUCAACCGUAAAAUUGCAGUUGAUACUGGCAUCCUUGAGUACAGUAGAGGGUGGCGGAAUUCGUGGUGGAGCGGUGAAAUGCUGAGAUAUCACGAAGAACUCCGAUUGCGAAGGCAGCCUGCUGGACUGUAACUGACGCUGAUGCUCGAAAGUGUGGGUAUCAAACAGGAGUAGAGAUCCGGGUAGUC
rnacentral:rRNA from 1 species